GCAGGGUCCUGGGCUGUGUUCCCCGGUGCCCUGGGCUCCAGGGCCUGCGCCACUGGAAUCGUGCUCCUGGGCCGCGCAG
rnacentral:pre_miRNA from 1 species